rnacentral:miRNA from 1 species
UAUCACAGCCAUUCUUGAUGAG